rnacentral:rRNA from 1 species
UACGUAGGGUGCAAGCGUUGUCCGGAAUUAUUGGGCGUAAAGAGCUUGUAGGCGGUUUGUCGCGUCUGCUGUGAAAUUUCGGGGCUCAACCCCGAACUUGCAGUGGGUACCGGCAGACUAGAGUGUGGUAGGGGAGACUGGAAUUCCUGGUGUAGCGGUGAAAUGCGCAGAUAUCAGGAGGAACACCGAUGGCGAAGGCAGGUCUCUGGGCCACUACUGGCGCUGAGAAGCGAAAGCAUGGGGAGCGAACAGG